rnacentral:rRNA from 1 species
UACAGAGGUCCCGAGCGUUGUUCGGAUUCAUUGGGCGUAAAGGGUGCGUAGGCGGCGGGGCAAGUCUGAUGUGAAAUCCCGGGGCUCAACCCCGGAACUGCAUUGGAUACUGCCUUGCUCGAGUACUGGAGAGGAGACUGGAAUUUACGGUGUAGCAGUGAAAUGCGUAGAUAUCGUAAGGAAGACCAGUGGCGAAGGCGAGUCUCUGGACAGUUACUGACACUGAGGCACGAAGGCCAGGGGAGCAAACGGG